AUUGAACGCUGGCGGCAGGCCUAACACAUGCAAGUCGAGCGGAUGAAGGGAGCUUGCUCCUGGAUUCAGCGGCGGACGGGUGAGUAAUGCCUAGGAAUCUGCCUGGUAGUGGGGGAUAACGUCCGGAAACGGGCGCUAAUACCGCAUACGUCCUGAGGGAGAAAGUGGGGGAUCUUCGGACCUCACGCUAUCAGAUGAGCCUAGGUCGGAUUAGCUAGUUGGUGGGGUAAAGGCCUACCAAGGCGACGAUCCGUAACUGGUCUGAGAGGAUGAUCAGUCACACUGGAACUGAGACACGGUCCAGAGUCCUACAGGAGGCAGCAGUGGGGAAUAUUGGACAAUGGGCGAAAGCCUGAUCCAGCCAUGCCGCGUGUGUGAAGAAGGUCUUCGGAUUGUAAAGCACUUUAAGUUGGGAGGAAGGGUAGUAAGUUAAUACCUUGCUGUUUUGACGUUACCAACAGAAUAAGCACCGGCUAACUUCGUG
rnacentral:rRNA from 1 species